AUAUUAGGUUGGUGCAAAAGUAAUUGUGUUUUGCUAUUUAAUGGCCAAAACCACAGUUACUUUUGCCCCA
rnacentral:miRNA from 1 species